rnacentral:lncRNA from 1 species
CACAAAGAACAUCAACUCUUAAGUGUGAGGAUUGAACCCACAAAUAUUGUCAUUAUUAGCACCAUGUUCUAAUCAGCUGAGCUAAUCUCAGGGUCUUUCUUCCAUACAUUUAUUUUUAAAGCAAACACUGGGAAUUCUAGCUAAUGUGCCAAUUUACCCUUUCUCUUUAAUUUAAUUUAAUUUAAUUUCAUUUCAUUAAAUUGUUUCAUUUUUUAGGUCUUUCCUCCUCUUUUUGCUAGACCAGAUCAAGAGGUUAAGCAGACCCUUAUACAUAUGCUGAAACUGAAAGACAAUCAUGUGGCAUUUGGUACUUCUUGAGAGCUGAGUUUGACUGUAUGCCCAAGACUACCCAGGCAGCAUGGGUGAAAGUGGAAAUCUGGACACAGAGAAGGAAACAUGAAGUGGACAUUUGAACAUUCUGUCAUCAGAGGAUGGACUGGAAAUACUCCAGUGCCUGCUGCGGCUGUGAAAAGGGAAACCCUAUGAGAAGGAUAAAGAAAGAAAUGAGACCCAGGACAUUCUUGCCACUGUGGUGCUGAGGAGGGAGUUUAGCAUGGAGAUGGAA